rnacentral:misc_RNA from 1 species
AAAAAACCCAUUAAAUAGAAAAAUUUAUUCAAUAAACCUUAUAUAUAUAAUUGAUAUAUUCUAAUCAUUAAUUAUGAUAGCACCUACUUGAUAUUUACGAUAAUGGAUGGUUAUAACACAAACUUUGUAUUUUAAAAUUUUUGGUUAGGUACAGCAUGAGAAUUGAAAAUGUGGAAGCACUAAAGCCAUUAUCUCAUGCCCAAAAAAGAGGUAGAUAGGACCACCCUGGCCCUGGUUUCCACAUGUUUGUCUUCCUUUCUAAGGAACCAGAAACAGCUAAAGAAGUGGGUUUCUUAAAGUAGGGUUCUAAAGUUACAGUGAUUUGGUCAAACUAAUGAUAUGAGAAAGAUUUAUUAAUUAUAUUGGAUUUACAAUCAUAAACCCAAAAGGGAUUUUUAAUCAAAUGGAUUUUCUUUUUUCUUCUGUCUUCUUCUUUACAAUUCCUGUAGGUUAGCUGUAGCCCUUUCAUCAUGUGCUAUUUCCUGACAUUGAUAUAGCUUUUGAGAUAUAUAAGGAACUGAACCCCGCAAGCUUAUAGGUUCUCAAUGAAUUCACCCAUGGCAAGCAAAAAGUGAGCCAGACUGAGUUUAAAGAGGUUCUGUCCGAUAUUUUACUAGGCAUGGCUGCUGGCUUGAAGCGAGACCCAAUAGUCAUCCUUCGUAUGGAUGGUGAAGACCUAUCAGAGUUCAUCAACGGACCAAGUUAUGAAGCAGAAAUGGUAUCUAUAUUUUCGCAGUUAGUAUCACCUGAUGCUGAUGGAUCACUCCAUGAUUUCAUUGUUAAAGCCUUGGAAAAGAUUACAGUUGAUCAAGGAAUCCCCCCGUCUUCAGAUUCCUGGGUAAUGAGCAACAUUGUGGAACCAGCCCUAGAAUCUUGCACUGUCCAAGAUCUUGAUAAACCUAUCUCUCAAGAAACAUUCUUGGUGGAAUUCAAGAAAGUAGCUGAACAUGUGGCUCAACAUCUCAAAGAACAGCCAGUUAUUGUUGCUCAUAGUGAAAAUACCUUUGAUGGGAGUGGCAUUAGGAGGCUGUUAACCAAUAAGUUUGAAUUAGACAAGACUCUGAACACAGCUUUAGAAAAUGUACCAAAAGAUCGAAAUGGGAAAAUGUCCCAGGAGUAUUUAAGGGUGGCAAUGGAUUCAGUGGCUCCAUCAGCUGGCCUACCUCCAAUUGGUGCUGUUGACGAGAUAGACAAGGUUAUAGAUGAAGGGCUUAAGAUGAUGAAUGCAGAUGAUGGGAAGCUGGUUAAAGAAGAUGAGUUCAAGGAGAUAUUGACUGAAAUCCUGGGAAGUGUUAUGUUGCAAUUAGAGGGCAAUCCCAUCUCAGUUUCUUCAAAUUCUGUUGUGCAUGAGCCUCUUGCUUCCUCCUCUACACUUCUGUAGCCAUCAUUAUAUGUAUAAUAGAUGUUUUAAAUAUAUCAAAAUAAUAGUAAUAAUAAUAUAAAUGAGGAAUAAUUAUUUGUUAAUUAGGAUAUGAGGUGGAUACCUAUGCGUGGCUGUGUUCUGUGCAAUUAUCUUGAUUGUGCAUAUAUAGAAUCACAGUCAUAUGGUGAGUCUUUGUUAAUGAUAAUGAUAAUUAGUCUCUUCUGCUUGCUUUAAUUUCUGUUGUCCACUCUAGAUGUACUAAUGGCCCAUCGUAAUCAGUUAAUUGGAUGGAGAGAGG